rnacentral:rRNA from 1 species
AGAGUUUGAUCAUGGCUCAGGACGAACGCUGGCGGCGCGCUUAACACAUGCAAGUCGAGCGAGAACCUGGCCUUCGGGCCUGGGGAAAGCGGCGAACGGGUGAGUAACACGUGGGUAACCCACCCUUGGUACCGGGAUAGCCCGAGGAAACUCGGGAUUAAUACCGGAUGGCCCAACAGCUCUUCGGGGCGGUUGGAAAAGGUAGCUUCGGCCUCCGACCAAGGACGGGCCCGCGGCGGAUUAGCUUGUUGGUGAGGUAACGGCUCACCAAGGCGACGAUCCGUAGCUGGUCUGAGAGGACGAUCAGCCACACUGGGACUGAGACACGGCCCAGACUCCUACGGGAGGCAGCAGUGGGGAAUCUUGCGCAAUGGGCGAAAGCCUGACGCAGCGACGCCGCGUGGGGGAAGAAGGCUUUCGGGUUGUAAACCCCUUUCAGGAAGGACGAAGCCACUCGGGUGAAUAGCCCAGAGGGUGACGGUACUUCCAGAAGAAGCCCCGGCUAACUACGUGCCAGCAGCCGCGGUAAUACGUAGGGGGCAAGCGUUGUCCGGAUUUAUUGGGCGUAAAGAGCGUGUAGGCGGUCAGGUAGGUCCGUUGUGAAAACUCGAGGCUCAACCUCGAGACGCCGAUGGAAACCAUCUGACUAGAGUCCGGAAGAGGAGAGUGGAAUUCCUGGUGUAGCGGUGAAAUGCGCAGAUAUCAGGAAGAACACCCGUGGCUAAGGCGGCUCUCUAGUACGGUACUGACGCUGAGACGCGAAAGCGUGGGGAGCGAACAGGAUUAGAUACCCUAGUAGUCC